AGAUUCAGCGGCGGGUUACUCCUGAACUCCUUAGCAGCCACGUUGGAUUCCACAUAGAAGAGGCAGGGACCGUUUCGUCCUUGAUGCUGCAGGAAGAAAAUGAGUGUGCUGCUACGGUCUGGCUAACUCGCCCUCCAAAACAAAGCGCAGAGCAGGUAACAGAGAUUCUCUUGUCUACUUCUGUCCCGCAGCCAAACAUUUCUCCCACUUGUAAGCAGGAGUACCUUGAUAGCAGCUGGGCGGGUUUUCAAAAAAACUGGACCGGCGUGUUUUUUUUUUUGUUUUUUUUAACACUUCCUGAAUUACCGGGCUGUCUAAACUAUGCACACAAUGCACGUUGGUGAGUAUGUGCGUGAUUGAGCAUGCUCGUCAUUCAUCUUUGUCAUUGUUUCGCCAACAUGGCCGUGACCCACAUGACUGAGGUGCCUUUACAACACGCUAUCACCAAAUGUUACAUAUUAUCUACGUUGCACAAGAAACGGCUGAGAAGCACGUCAUAUUUUGCUUUGGAGGGAAGGAAAUGAACAGCAACUUCAAAGUGGAAGUAAAAAUAAACAAUGUUUCAAAACACACAC